UUCUUAAUAAAGUGAGUCGUCUUAGC
rnacentral:piRNA from 1 species